rnacentral:lncRNA from 1 species
AUGGUUUAUAAUAUUGACUCUGUACCCUCUUCUCUGCAAGUAAGCAUUGGCGGGCAUCUGUAUCUGUGUAGAGCUAGAAGAGAUACCUGGGAAUUAAUGGUAUGUCUGCCUAUGAUGAUUUUGUAUUUCUUUUAAGAGAUGGAGCACUAUUUAAGAGAAGCACACUAUUUUGACACUAAGUAGUGCAUUGUAACACAAUUCUAACACUAUCCACUAGGAAUUAAUGCAGACCUUGUAAAUUAAAAGACAUAGUCUCCAAUGAGACUGACCUCACUGCAGAUGCCAAAGCUGUACUUGGGUGUCUCUAAGCGACCUGCACUUUUGACCAAGUGGUUAUAAAUACUAGCGUUUCCAUAGCUUCCUCUGGUUCGAUAGUUAACUAGAAAGACAGAACUCAGUUAUGGUUACAGUUUUAUGAUAAAGGAUACAAACCAGGACCAGCCAAUGAAAAGAUAUAUAAGGUGAUAUCUGAGGGGGUUUCAAGUACAGAGCUUCCAUACCUCUCUGUGGAAUCAGGGCACAUCACUCUCAUGGUUCAUUCAUGUGUUUACCAACCAGGAGGCUCCAGUGAGCUUCAGUGUCCAGAGUUUUUAAUGGAGUUUACUUAUGUUGGCAUGCAUAAUUGAAUCACAUACCGCAUGAUUAAACUCCAGCCCACCUCCUCUCCAUGGAAGCUGAGCUGGUAAAGACCCAACCUUUUAUUCACAUGCUUAGUCUUUUGGGAGGCCAGACCUCAUCCUGGGACAUCCGAUUAGCAUAAACUCAUUGUGAUUCAAGGAGCUACUGAAUAACAAAAACAUUCAUAUUGGCAAAUUCCAAGAAUUUAGUUUCCUUCCCAAGAACCGGGACAAAGGCCAGUCAAAUUCUGUAUUAUACAACAUAAAUUAAAACAAAAUGAAUAGGAUAAUGAAGGUUAGAAGAGAGGCAUGAGGUAACAUGGAGCUAAAUAGGAUAGGAUAUACAAAUUGUUUCUAU